rnacentral:rRNA from 1 species
GAUGAACGCUGGCGGCGUGCCUAAUACAUGCAAGUCGAGCGAACGGACGAGAAGCUUGCUUCUCUGAUGUUAGCGGCGGACGGGUGAGUAACACGUGGAUAACCUACCUAUAAGACUGGGAUAACUUCGGGAAACCGGAGCUAAUACCGGAUAAUAUUUUGAACCGCAUGGUUCAAAAGUGAAAGACGGUCUUGCUGUCACUUAUAGAUGGAUCCGCGCUGCAUUAGCUAGUUGGUAAGGUAACGGCUUAUCAAGGCAACGAUGCAUAGCCGACGGGAGAGGGUGAUAGGCGACACUGGAACUGAGCCGCGGUCCAGACGCCUACGGGAGGCAGCAGUAGGGAAUCGUCCGCAGUAGGCGAAAGCCUGGCGGAGCAACGCCGCGUGAGUGAUGAAGGUCUUCGGAUCGUAAAACUCUGUUAUUAGGGAAGAACAGAUGUGUAAGUAACUGUGCACAUCUUGACGGUACCUAAUCAGAAAGCCACGGCUAACUACGUG